rnacentral:rRNA from 1 species
AUUGAACGCUGGCGGCAGGCCUAACACAUGCAAGUCGAACGAGUGGCGGACGGGUGAGUAAUGUCUGGGAAACUGCCUGAUGGAGGGGGAUAACUACUGGAAACGGUAGCUAAUACCGCAUACCAUCAGAUGUGCCCAGAUGGGAUUAUCUAGUUGGUGGGGUAACGGCUCACCAAGGCGAAGAUCCCUAGCUGGUCUGAGAGGAUGACCGGCCAAACGGGAACUGGGACACGGUCAAGACUCCUACGGAAGGCAGCAGGGGGGAAUAUUGCACAAUGGUGGAAAGCCGGAUGCAGCCAUGCCGCGUGUAUGAAGAAGGCUUUCGGGUGGUAAAGUACUUUAAGCGGGGAGGCGUUACCCGCAGAAGAAGCACCGGCUAACUCCGGGCCAGCAGCGGCGGAAUAC